UACGUAGGGGGCAAGCGUUGUCCGGAUUUAUUGGGCGUAAAGAGCUCGUAGGCGGCUUGGCAAGUCGGGUGUGAAAACUUCAGGCUCAACCUGGAGCGGCCACUCGAUACUGCCAUGGCUUGAGUCCGGUAGGGGACCACGGAAUUCCUGGUGUAGCGGUGAAAUGCGCAGAUAUCAGGAGGAACACCAGUGGCGAAGGCGGUGGUCUGGGCCGGAACUGACGCUGAGGAGCGAAAGCGUGGGUAGCAAAUAGG
rnacentral:rRNA from 1 species